CCUACGGGUGGCUGCAGUGAGGAAUAUUGGUCAAUGGGCGCGAGCCUGAACCAGCCAAGUAGCGUGAAGGAUGACUGCCCUACGGGUUGUAAACUUCUUUUAUAAAGGAAUAAAAUGAGGCACGUGUGCCUUUUUGUAUGUACUUUAUGAAUAAGGAUCGGCUAACUCCGUGCCAGCAGCCGCGGUAAUACGGAGGAUCCGAGCGUUAUCCGGAUUUAUUGGGUUUAAAGGGAGCGUAGAUGGGUUGUUAAGUCAGUUGUGAAAGUUUGCGGCUCAACCGUAAAAUUGCAAUUGAUACUGGCAGGCUUGAGUACAGGUGAGGUAGGCGGAAUUCGUGGUGUAGCGGUGAAAUGCUUAGAUAUCACGAAGAACUCCGAUUGCGAAGGCAGCUUACUAAACUGUGACUGACAUUGAUGCUCGAAAGUGUGGGUAUCAAACAGGAUUAGAUACCCUAGUAGUC
rnacentral:rRNA from 1 species